UUGAGCCUUGUGAUGGGAAACUAUCACGCAGGGUUCUUAGGGGGGAAAGGGGCGGUAACGCCCUGCCCUACCCGGU
rnacentral:ncRNA from 1 species